rnacentral:rRNA from 1 species
GGGAAAAGGGGGGCGGCCUACACAUGCAAGUCGAGCGGAAACGAGUUAACUGAACCUUCGGGGAACGUUAACGGCGUCGAGCGGCGGACGGGUGAGUAAUGCCUGGGAAAUUGCCCUGAUGUGGGGGAUAACCAUUGGAAACGAUGGCUAAUACCGCAUAAUAGCCCGGUUCUUCGGAAUGGGCCUCAAAGAGGGGGACCUUUUAGGCCUCUCGCGUCAGGAUAUGCCCAGGUGGGAUUAGCUAGUUGGUGAGGUAAUGGCUCACCAAGGCGACGAUCCCUAGCUGGUCUGAGAGGAUGAUCAGCCACACUGGAACUGAGACACGGUCCAGACUCCUACGGGAGGCAGCAGUGGGGAAUAUUGCACAAUGGGCGCAAGCCUGAUGCAGCCAUGCCGCGUGUAUGAAGAAGGCCUUCGGGUUGUAAAGUACUUUCAGCAGUGAGGAAGGUGGGUAUGUUAAUAGCAUACACAUUUGACGUUAGCUGCAGAAGAAGCACCGGCUAACUCCGUGCCAGCAGCCGCGGUAAUACGGAGGGUGCGAGCGUUAAUCGGAAUUACUGGGCGUAAAGCGCAUGCAGGUGGUUUGUUAAGUCAGAUGUGAAAGCCCGGGGCUCAACCUCGGAAUUGCAUUUGAAACUGGCAAACUAGAGUACUGUAGAGGGGGGUAGAAUUUCAGGUGUAGCGGUGAAAUGCGUAGAGAUCUGAAGGAAUACCGGUGGCGAAGGCGGCCCCCUGGACAGAUACUGACACUCAGAUGCGAAAGCGUGGGGAGCAAACAGGAUUAGAUACCCUGGUAGUCCACGCCGUAAACGAUGUCUACUUGGAGGUUGUGGCCUUGAGCCGUGGCUUUCGGAGCUAACGCGUUAAGUAGACCGCCUGGGGAGUACGGUCGCAAGAUUAAAACUCAAAUGAAUUGACGGGGGCCCGCACAAGCGGUGGAACAUGUGGUUUAAUUCGAUGCAACGCGGAGAACCUUUACCUACUCUUGACAUCUACAGAAGCCAGCGGAAGACGCAGGUGUGCCUUCCGGGAACUGUAAAAAA